rnacentral:misc_RNA from 1 species
GCAGUUUGUGUAUUAUGACAAAACUGGAGCAGCAGCAAAUUCAGCAAAGUUUUUAAGUGUCUUCUUUGCACGCCAAUAGACAGCAUUUGCUGUUUCUGAUGUUCCCAGCUUAACCUCCAUGGCAUAGUAACCUCGCCACAAUCUCAAAUUUUGGACGUGAGUUGCAAGUGCAGAUUCAUAUAUUUUUCGGGCAUUUCCAAGACAAUUUUUAUUACCAAUGGAUGCAAGGUUCUCUUCCAAGUCGAUGCAAUUUUCGUAUAAAGCAAGACCUGGACGUGGCAAGGCAAGAAACCGCUUAUAAGUCUCUCUUGCAUGUUGAAUUCCAUCCUUCUGAAGAAUAAAAUUUACAAGAGCACAUGGGAGGGAGAAUCCAUUAUCACUGCCACCAUGUUUAGCUACAACAGUGAACGCCAUCUCAACCAGCUUGUCAAAAUAAUGUUUUUCUAUUGCAAAAAACUUGAGUGCCAUUACCCAUAAGUCCUCAGCUUCUGUUACUGACACUUUUCUCAACACACUUCUAAGGAGUUCAAAGAUGGAUUGUAGAUCAUCCUUAGUUGGUCCAGGAGUAUUAUUUGUAAAAUAUCUAAUUUCUAAAGAGGCCCUUAAUAGCCAUAAUUUUACUGAAUCUGAAAGUAUUCCGCCGCAUAGUUUUUCUGCUAGCUUCUUUCCUUCAUCUAGUCUCCCUAGUUGCAAGUAAAAUGAGACAUAUUCACAAGCAAGUUCCUCAGUAAUACAUCCCAAUGUCUCAGCUUUCUCAUAUACCCUCAAGAUACGAGAGAUAUAAUCCUCAGUAUGAUUGGAUAAUCCCGAGAGUUGGUCUUCUUCUUUAUGAUUGGAUAAUCCCAAGGGUUGGUCUUCUUCUUUUCUAGGGGAAGCAACAUCCGCAAAGAACUUAAUAUAUAGCUUAAACAUAACGGAUGAAGGCACAAACUGCAAAGCCUCCUCGUAAACCUGAACUGCUUUUUGCAGUUGUGUCGACAUGAUACCUUCAAUAUUCUCCUGCAUAGUUCUAAAAUUAGUCAUUUCAAGCCUAGCAAGCCAAUCCCAAUAUUCCGGAUCUUCAGAGAAGUCUUUCCUCAUAUCACUUANNNNNNNGCGCAUUUCUUCUGAAUCUGCCAACUCUAUUGCUUCCAAUAUCUCAAAUAACCGCUUUCUUAGGCCAAAACUAUAAGGAAGAGCUUCAAUUGCCCCACUAUAGAUAGUCUGAAGAAUGCUCAAACCUUGUUCUCCAAACAAAUCCACUUUCUUCUCUGACUCGUCAAUAUUAACAUUUGAUCCAUUACUAUUUCCUUUUUCUUCAUCCAGUGACACAAACACACCAUCAUUUUCUUCUCUCCACUGUUGCUCAUCAGCAUCCCUAUGAUCACGGACCAGAGUUCCCUUGUCCUCUCCAAGGGCAACCUUCCGGGCCUUUAACUUGUUAAGGUAUGUGAGCUCCAUCCGAAGAUACUCUACCCAAAGGUCUUCUGAAGUUGGGCACACUCUCAAACCACUCUGCAUGAGGGCACGAGCAGCUGCAACAUUUAG